rnacentral:rRNA from 1 species
UAUUGGGCAAUGGGCGCAAGCCUGACCCAGCAACGCCGCGUGAAGGAAGAAGGCUUUCGGGUNGUAAACUUCUUUUAAGAGGGAANNGCNNNANACGGUACCUCUUGAAUAAGCCACGGCUAACUACGUGNNAGCAGCCGCGGUAAUACGUAGGUGGCAAGCGUUGUCCGGAUUUACUGGGUGUAAAGGGCGUGCAGCCGGGAAGACAAGUCAGAUGUGAAAUCCCGCGGCUCAACCGCGGAACUGCAUUUGAAACUGUUUUUCUUGAGUACCGGAGAGGUCAUCGGAAUUCCUUGUGUAGCGGUGAAAUGCGUAGAUAUAAGGAAGAACACCAGUGGCGAAGGCGGUCUGCUGGACAGCAACUGACGCUGAGGCGCGAAAGCGUGGGGAGCAA